rnacentral:rRNA from 1 species
AGAGUUUAAUCAUGACUCAGGAUGAACGCUAGCGGCAGGCUUAACACAUGCAAGUCGAGGGUCAGCGGGGUGUAGCAAUACACUGCCGGCGACCGGCGCACGGGUGCGUAACGCGUAUGCAACCUACCCAUAACAGGGGCAUAACACUGAGAAAUUGGUACUAAUUCCCCAUAACAUUCGAAGAGGCAUCUCUUUGGGUUGAAAACUCCGGUGGUUAUGGAUGGGCAUGCGUUGUAUUAGCUAGUUGGG